GCGUCCCUCUCUCCCUCUCUUUCCUUUCCUCUCCUUCCUUCCAUCUGUCUUCUUCUCUCUCUCUCCCCUUUCCUUUCCUCCUCUCUCUCUCUGUCUCUCUGUCUCUCUCUCUCCCCACCCCCCAAUAAAGCUCUAAAAAGGUAACCAUGGCUCGUGACUCUCCUCCAGCACUCUCCUCUGUGGUGGCCAGCCAGGAGCAUCGUGCCUUUUAACCAACAUUGGUGCUGUGACACAGAUACACCACCGAGCACCGAGGACCUGCUGUGACUGCUGCUGCCUGCCACCUCCUCCCCCAUCCAGCGAGACUUUGAGACCUCGAGCGCGCACGCAUCCCUCGCCUCUGCUGGACCCCCACACAGCUACCACUACUGAUACCGCCAUGAUUCUUCGCCACACUACAGCCAUGAGACAAAGGGGCGGAUACGAUACAUUUACCACCUACAUUGGCAGAUGGGGCGGACACCAGUAAACCUGGCCACAUAACAGCGUAAACCUGGCCGCAUAACAGCAUCGCGGGAAAUUCUGCCAGCGAACAGGCAAAUAAGAGUUACUUUAUCCCCAAGCUUUUUACUAAAGUUCUAACUAAACCCUUCUCCUUCCCCACUUCUGCGUCUGCCAUGUGCAACCUUUUCUGUCUGACUUCCCCCGGCAGUGGGCAGGCUCAAAUGGACAGGCUUGGAUGGUUUCUACGACUUGCCCUAACUCACCUUAACUCCACUCACUCAUUCUCAUGUGCAUACAGACAGGGCCCUGAGCUUUGCCUUGUCCCUAAUUCCAAAAAAUAAAUUCUCAUGCACCACAAGCUUUUCUUUCUUUUUUUUUUUUUUCGAGACAGGGUUUCUCUGUGUAGCUUUGCGCCUUUUCCUGGAACUCGCUUGGUAGUCCAGGCUGCGGUGGUCCUACCUCUCCAAACCAGAGCUACCCCUGUGUUAAAGUCUUUAUAUAGAGUUCCUGUCCUGCCUUCUCAUUGGUUGUAAACCCAACCACAUGACCGCCUCCUCACGGCCUGUCUGUAUAGACCUCCAGCUUUUCCAUGAUUGGCAUUGAGAUUAAAGGCAUGUGUAUCCAAUAAUGGCUGUAUCCCUGAACACACAGAGACUUACCCAGCUCUGCCUACCAAGUGCUGGGAUUACAAGUGUAUGCCAACACUGCCCUGCUUUCCUAUGGCUUGCUAAUAGCUCUGACCCCCGGGCAACUUUAUUUAUUAACAUACAAAUAACAUUUUAAUACAAAUAAAAUAUCACCAUAUUUCCCCUUUUCUAUUUUAAUAAAAAGGAAAAAAAAGAAAAAGCUUAUAACUAAUAUAAGAAAAACUAUAUACAAAAGUACAAUAACUAUAUACAAUAUAUACAAGUAAUAAAUACCUAAACAAUGUCUAGUUCAUUUGUAUUUGACAAAUUCAGAGAAAAUAAUUCCAUUAUCUAUCCUAUUGUAUCUAAUUCACUUUCUAUCCUAAUUAAUCUUCAACUAUAACUAACUAAUCUUCAACUCCCUCAGAGACCCAAGAAAGAAAUAAUAUUAGCUAACAAAAAAAUAAAAACAGGAAGUAUAUGCAAGCAACAUACAAAUAACAUUUUAAUACAAAUAAAAUAUCACCAUACACAACACCUGUCUACCUCAGAAGACUACCCCAAGAGCCAACCGACCUCCAAUUGUCAGCUGGAAGCAGUUUUUGAGAGGAACGACGCUCCUAUUCCAUCUACCUGCUUUUUUAUAAUAAGUGAAAGUCUGGCAUGUAAGGAUUCUGUCCUUGAUUACAUCAUCAGCCUGGGACGGAGUCUCAGCCUAAAAAGCAGGUGGGCCCUCUGUGCGUCCCUCUUUCCUUCCUGCUCCUUCCUUCUGUCUGUCUUCUUCUCUCUCUCUCUCUCUCCCCCACUUCCCUUUCCUCUCUCCCUCUCUCUCCCCCCCUUCCCUUUCCUCUCUCCCUCUCUCUCCUGCGCGGCCAGCCAUGAGCACCACGCCGUUUAUCAAGGAAUAUUUGUGGUAUUCAGUUUUUUUUCUUCUUUUUUUGUUUUUCGAGACAAGGGUUUCUCUGUGUAGCUUUGGUGCCUUUCCAGGAACUCACUCUAGCCCAGGCUGGCCUCACACUCACAGAGAUACACCUGCCUCUGCCUCCUGCAUGCUGGGAUUAAAGAUGUGCGCCACCACUGCCUAGCGGUAUUCAGUUUUUAAUAUAUCAGCUGUCUUCUGCUAUGAAAUUCUCGUGUGCUCCUAUACUACUAGGCCAUAUGGCAGACAGUUAAGCUUCUCAGAUGUACUGCUGAUCCAUUAGGUAACACCCCUGCAGGGCCUAGGAGACAGGUGGGCUACAGACGCAUAGCUUUGUUUCUUGUGCAAAUGAAGCUCAGAACUUCCUUCCCCAGACAGGGAAAAGGGCAUUCCAGAGCAAAUGACUCAGAACAAAGGAGUUUUUGCAUAUCCAGUUAGAAUGAAGGAUGGGGCAAGAUUCCUGGUCUGGGCAGAGCUGUGUGAGGAGGAGAGAAGGAGUUUCUGUACAUGGUAAGACAGAGUUGUGUGGCUGGAGAGAAAGGAACAAGGUAGAUCUUUUGUAGAGUGUGGCUCAGGCUGAGGAGUGAGGAGCAAGGAAAAGUUUUUUGUCGAUUGUAGAUGAAUCAGGUCAGAAGAGGAGAAGAGGGAGGAAAGAUGGAGGAUGUAGGAACUGAAGACGAAGAAGAGAUCGAAAGCAUAGCUUACUAAAACUGUGAGGAGACAGAAAAAGAAGGGACAGAGAGGAGCUGAAUGUGAGGACAGAACUGAAGCUGUGUAGAUAGAAUUUUGUCUUAGAGAAACAAGUAAACGGACAAAAAAGCUUGGUGUACAUAGAUUCUUUUCCUGACUCACCGUUCGUAGCUUCUCUUCUGGGCCCCUGGGAAGAAUAUUAAGGCUGAUCCUUAAUAAUAUUUGAGAUUGUAGGGGAUUAAUAGCUUUUUAGGGUUAGAGCUGGGGGCCAGCUGAGGUUAUAACUUUCCCAAGUCAGUUGCUUGAGCAUUUAGGGCACUCACUCUUGUAAUCAGGAAGGACCAGGAAUCAAAGGAGCUUGGACGUCCCUUUAUCUCCAAAGGUCCCAAAUGUGAUCUAUUUGAAAGACUCCAUUCCUGACCACAUCUUGCCAAAUGGGAGAAAAUUGCAGGGAUCUGUCUUCUAAUGUUUGUCUUGGGGAACGGAGUGGAGAUCAGGCUGUGGGAACUGAGGUUAUUGGCUAUGUGACUAAAUUCUCUCACUGGAGGUCCCUCAGAGUGGGGAGAAGUCACCCAAUAUACCAGCACAUGGGAGAAAUUGUGCCCUGUAAUUUAUACACUGCUGGAUCUUUUUUGGGACAAGUGAAAGAUUUAGAACAAGCCCCCACGGUCAGGCAUGUCUGCAUAUGUCUGGCGGACACUUCCACCUAGCUAGGUCCAGGUCCAGAUAGCCAUUUCCGGGUCAGGGCAUCUCGCGUGACCAAGAUCCAUGUCCCACUAGCCACGUAAGCGCGCAACGUGGCCAUGUGAUCUACGCGCUUGCAUGUAGUAGUGACGCUGAUCUGUCCACGCCCAGCCUUUAAAAUCAGGCGCCAUGUUCCUGGUUCCUUCCUUCUUCUUCUCCACACACGUGUUUCCCGCAGGCCUGUUCACUCUCUGUCCCUUUAAUAAAACUCUUGUUAGCAGAUUCUGUCGUGUUUCGUGGCAUUUCCUUGCAGGGUAAGCACACAGCGCAGCCAAAAAACAAACGAGUCCCCCUCAAAGAGGGGAGAGCUUAUGGUCUCUCAAGAGAUUCACUGUAAGAACAGCCAUAAUACAAAAGGCAAUACUCCCUGCGUCUUGUGACUGGGUGUCUUCUGUCAGAAUGCAUCAGUUCUGGUGGGUUGACCUUCUGCUUUAUCAGCUGAAAUCUCACUUGUAUAACCUUGCAGACUGCAGCACCCUGUGGCUUUGCAGACACCUGUGGCCGGAGUCACUAUAGGCUGGCUAAUGUUUUCCUUUCUUUUCCUCAAGCCUCUGAGCAAGUUGGGAUUUUUCUGUUGCAGCCUAUCUGCAGCAAAUUCUAUAGGCUUUGGGCUCCAAAAACUGCAGAAGUUAGCUGUUUUUGUACAUUCCCCUGUGCCGACAGCUGGCUCUUUGGUUUCUUCUCUCUCGUUGUCUUGUGGCUUUCCGUAGACCUCCGCCUCUGGCUGCAGCCAUACUAGGUGGCUGCUUUGAAAACAAUUUGGGCUUCUACUGUUCUACUCAGAGCAUUCAGUCUCAUGUCUUCACCGACAUCUGAAUCACCAUCAUUGGCAGAUUUAGUGAGACAAUUAGGAAUUCUUAAAGGGAGAAAUUAGUCAAAAGAGAGUUUUUUUUCCCCACAUUAAAAAAUGGAAAACACUAUUAUAAUGGUGGGAGUUAGGUUUCUGUAUGAUAAUACAUUGGAUGAUUUAAAUAUGGAACAAUUAAAUGAGGAGAUAAUUAAUUUAGAUGGGACUUAUGUAAUAUAAAUGGUUUUAUAAUUUUUGCUUUAUUACUAAAAAAGUUGGUUAAUGUGACUACUAAGAUACAAGUUUUAGAAAAAUUUAUUAAAACAGAUCAUAGAAAUAUUCAGACCCAGACAGAGGAAUCUAAAAGAGAACCAAUCUCAGCAUUACAUCAUAAGGUUAGAGAGGAACAGCCUAAGGCUUUCAAAAAACCAACUUUAAUUUGUCCAGUCAUCUUACAGGAAUUGCCAAAUGAUAGAUAUCCUCAAGACUGUGUACAAGCUGAAUGAAUUCCAGUGGACAUGUUAGAUUUAAGGAGAUUCAAGGAAAUUAUUGUCUCAUAUGACAUGCAUUCACCUUUUGUGAAGCAGAUGUUAAACUCGUGGUCAACUUGUAAUAGAAUUAUCCCUCAAAACUGGAGAGACUUGGUUACAGCAGUCUUGGAGUCCUCAAUUACAGUGGGGGACCAGAUGAAAGAUGAGGCUAAGAUCAUUGAACAACAAAGUAGGGUUAGAAAUAUGGAAAUCUUCCAAGACCACCUUCUUGGAGAGGAAGAUUAUGCUAAUGUAGAAAGGCAAUCUCUAUAUGAUGACCACACUCUGGCUUUAUACCAUGUAGCAGCCUUGAAUGCUUGGGACAGAAUUGAAGAAGUAAGAAAGAAAAUUGAGUCAUAUACUAAAGUUAUACAGGGCUCAAAAGAAACUUUCAAUGAUUUCUUACAAAGAUUGACUUCAGUGAAUAGAAUGAUACCAAAUUUAGAAGCUAGACAAAUAAUAAUUGAAUCUCUGGCUUUUGAAAAUACUAAUACACAAUGCAAAAGGGUAAUUAGACCAUGGACCUGAGAUAUAGUCAAUAUUGAGUCUCAUAACCUAGUUGAUGCUUAAAUAGGAGAGGUAAUCUCCAGAGGUUUGAAGAAAAAUCAAAAUGUCAAAUGUUUCAAUUGUGGUAAACAAGAUCUCCUAAAAAGGGAUUGUAAACAAGGAAUUCCUAGAAAUGAUGUUUUUUCUAAGACUAAUCAACAGAAUGCCCCUCCCUUCUGGAUUAUGCAGAAGCUGUGGCAAAGGCAGGCAUUGACCUAAGGAAUGUAAGGGACAGACAAGAUAACUCUGCCAUCAGGAAAUGCCUUGGGGGGCUUUUUGCAGGCCCCCAUGUCAAAUUCGGAUCAGUUGUUUCCUGUGAUUGUGGAGGAAACACCUUCACAGAACAAUUAAAGAAACUAAUGCCUAUUGUAAGAAACCAGACUGCUCUGGAUGAUAGAACAGCAAUAGAAGAGAGAACAAAAAAUUCAGGAGAAACUGUGAAGUGAAUACUUUGACCAACUUCUAUAAAUGAACACAGACCAAAAUUAAAAAUAUGAAUAAAUGAUGUUGUCAUUGAAGGUCUUGUAGACACAGGUGCGGAUGUAAUAAUAAUUGCACCAGCAUUUUGGCAUCCAAAUUGGCCUCUUUAGGAGGUAAAAUGUUCAGCUUUUAGGGACUGGAACAUUAUCUCAAAUGAAACAGAGUGCAAGAUAGGUCAAAUGUAUAGGGUCACAAGGAUAAGGAAUAAAAUUAAAGCCAUGUGUGGCUAACAUACCCAUGAAUUUAUAGGGACAUGAUUUGUUAUAGCAAUGGAAUACCCAGAUUAAUAUUCUUCCAAUCUCAGAAACAAACUAUAAACUAACAUAUGUUUCUAGGAAAAAUAUUAGAAGGUAUUAUAAAGAACAGUCACUAACCAUUACGGUUGUACAAGAACGGGGUACAACAGCUGCUGAUCUAUCUUUCAAAGCCACCAAUAGCUCUACCUUAAAAAUGGCUAACAGAUGAGCCUGUAUGGGUUCAGCAAUGGCCUUUAACAACAGAGAAACAGCAGGCCUUAGAACAGUUGGUACAAGAACAGUUAAAUGCUCAGCAUAUUGAAGAUUCAACUAGCCCUUGGAAUUUUCCUGUAUUUGUUAUUAAAAAGACAUCUGAUAAAAUGGAGAAUGGUAACAGAUCUAAGAGCUCUUAACAAGGUAAUUCAGCCAGUGGGCUCUCUAUAGUUUAGAAUUCCUUUGCCUUCUCUAUUACCUAAAAGAUGGCCUUUUAAAGUUAUUGAUUUAAAAGACUGUUUUUUCUCAAUAACCUUACAAGAAAAAGAUAGAGCAAAAUUUGACUUCAUGGUGCCUACUUAUAAUAAUUCUCAGCCUUUUAAAAGAUAUCACUGAAAGGUUCUCCCACAGGGAAUGUUAAAUAGCCCCACUCUGUGCCAAUAUUUUGUAUGACAGUUGUUGGAAGUAAUAUGUAAGCAGUUUCCUCAAUCUAUAGUAUAUCAUUACAUGGAUAACAUCUUACUAGCAGAUUCAAAUGUAGAUACUUUAGAAAAAAAUGUUUGAAGAAGUAAAAAACAUUUUUGCCUUGUUGGGAAUUACAAAUUUCUCCUGAAAAAAUACAAAGAGAAGAUUCUAUUAAUUAUU